rnacentral:rRNA from 1 species
GAUGAACGCUGGCGGCGUGCCUAAUACAUGCAAGUCGAGCGAACGGACGAGAAGCUUGCUUCUCUGAUGUUAGCGGCGGACGGGUGAGUAACACGUGGAUAACCUACCUAUAAGACUGGGAUAACUUCGGGAAACCGGAGCUAAUACCGGAUAAUAUUUUGAACCGCAUGGUUCAAAAGUAAAAGACGGUCUUGCUGUCACUUAUAGAUGGAUCCGCGCUGCAUUAGCUAGUUGGUAAGGUAACGGCUUACCAAGGCAACGAUGCAUAGCCGACCUGAGAGGGUGAUCGGCCACACUGGAACUGAGACACGGUCCAGACUCCUACGGGAGGCAGCAGUAGGGAAUCUUCCGCAAUGGGCGAAAGCCUGACGGAGCAACGCCGCGUGAGUGAUGAAGGUCUUCGGAUCGUAAAACUCUGUUAUUAGGGAAGAAUAUAUGUGUAAGUAACUGUGCACAUCUUGACGGUACCUAAUCAGAAAGCCACGGCUAACUACGUGCCAGCAGCCGCGGUAAUACGUAAGUGGCAAGCGUUAUCCGGAAUUAUUGGGCGUAAAGCGCGCGUAGGCGGUUUUUUAGUCUGAUGUGAAAGCCCACGGCUCAACCGUGGAGGGUCAUUGGAAACUGGAAAACUUGAGUGCAGAAGAGGAAAGUGGAAUUCCAUGUGUAGCGGUGAAAUGCGCAGAGAUAUGGAGGAACACCAGUGGCGAAGGCGACUUUCUGGUCUGUAACUGACGCUGAUGUGCGAAAGCGUGGGGAUCAAACAGGAUUAGAUACCCUGGUAGUCCACGCCGUAAACGAUGAGUGCUAAGUGUUAGGGGGUUUCCGCCCCUUAGUGCUGCAGCUAACGCAUUAAGCACUCCGCCUGGGGAGUACGACCGCAAGGUUGAAACUCAAAGGAAUUGACGGGGACCCGCACAAGCGGUGGAGCAUGUGGUUUAAUUCGAAGCAACGCGAAGAACCUUACCAAAUCUUGACAUCCUUUGACAACUCUAGAGAUAGAGCCUUCCCCUUCGGGGGACAAAGUGACAGGUGGUGCAUGGUUGUCGUCAGCUCGUGUCGUGAGAUGUUGGGUUAAGUCCCGCAACGAGCGCAACCCUUAAGCUUAGUUGCCAUCAUUAAGUUGGGCACUCUAAGUUGACUGCCGGUGACAAACCGGAGGAAGGUGGGGAUGACGUCAAAUCAUCAUGCCCCUUAUGAUUUGGGCUACACACGUGCUACAAUGGACAAUACAAAGGGCAGCGAAACCGCGAGGUCAAGCAAAUCCCAUAAAGUUGUUCUCAGUUCGGAUUGUAGUCUGCAACUCGACUACAUGAAGCUGGAAUCGCUAGUAAUCGUAGAUCAGCAUGCUACGGUGAAUACGUUCCCGGGUCU